UGCGCCAGACACUGAUCGCCUGCAAGGAAGAGGCACGGCUGUGGGGCUGCCGGAUGCCGAGAGCCUCGCGAAGCGUCUCCCAAGCUUGGUGCUCCUUGUUUGCUAACGCAAUGUAAAACCAAACACCGCUAAUGUAAAAUUUUUCUUUAUCACCUGGGCAGGUGGGGGCAUUCUCUCCCCCUCCGUUGCCCAUAAAAGAAAAUCUUUGAAACCAAACUGUAUUAGAAAAAACCUAACCCAAUGCAUAUAAUCAAGAGGCAC
rnacentral:lncRNA from 1 species